rnacentral:rRNA from 1 species
AGUGAACGCUGGCGGUAGGCCUAACACAUGCAAGUCGAACGGCAGCACAGUAAGAGCUUGCUCUUACGGGUGGCGAGUGGCGGACGGGUGAGGAAUACAUCGGAAUCUACUUUUUCGUGGGGGAUAACGUAGGGAAACUUACGCUAAUACCGCAUACGACCUACGGGUGAAAGCAGGGGAUCUUCGGACCUUGCGCGAUUGAAUGAGCCGAUGUCGGAUUAGCUAGUUGGCGGGGUAAAGGCCCACCAAGGCGACGAUCCGUAGCUGGUCUGAGAGGAUGAUCAGCCACACUGGAACUGAGACACGGUCCAGACUCCUACGGGAGGCAGAAGUGGGGAAUAUUGGAAAAUGGGCGCAAGCCUGAUCAAGCCAUACCGCGUGGGUGAAGAAGGCCUGCGGGUGGUAAAGCCCUUUUGUUGGGAAAGAAAAGCAGCAGGUUAAUACCCCGCUGUUCUGACGGUACCCAAAGAAUAAGCACCGGCGAACUUCGU